rnacentral:rRNA from 1 species
AUUGAACGCUGGCGGCAGGCUUAACACAUGCAAGUCGAACGGUAACAGAGAAUAGCUUGCUAUUUUGCUGACGAGUGGCGGACGGGUGAGUAAUGCUUGGGAAUUUACCUUGUUGUGGGGGACAACAGUUGGAAACGACUGCUAAUACCGCAUAAUGUCUUAGGACCAAAGGUGGCCUCUAUUUAUAUGCUAUUGCGACAAGAUGAGCCCAAGUGGGAUUAGCUAGUUGGUAAGGUAAAGGCUUACCAAGGCGACGAUCCCUAGCUGGUCUUAGAGGAUGACCAGCCACACUGGAACUGAGACACGGUCCAGACUCCUACGGGAGGCAGCAGUGGGGAAUAUUGCACAAUGGGGGAAACCCUGAUGCAGCCAUGCCGCGUGUGUGAAGAAGGCUUUCGGGUUGUAAAGCACUUUCAGCGAGGAGGAAAGGGUAGUUAACCUAAUACGUAAUAUCUGUGACGUUACUCGCAGAAGAAGCACCGGCUAACUCCGUGCC